CUACCUCCCAAGUCCAAGCAAUUCUCGUGCCUCAGCCUCCCGAGUAGCUGGGAUUACAGGUUUUAAGCCCCACAUGCAUUAGGUAUUUGUCCCAGUGCUCUCCCUCCGCUUGCUCUCCACCCCACGACAGGACCCAGUGUGUGAUGUUCCCCUCCCUGUGUCCAUGUGUUCUCAUUGUCCAAUUACACCUUGGUCCUCACCGAGACUGAGCUCAGGUAUGCUCCAUGUGUAUUCACUUUUGAGUCUAGGCUUAAAGAGCAGUGUAUUAGCUCAGGCUGCCAUAACAAAA
rnacentral:lncRNA from 1 species